rnacentral:misc_RNA from 1 species
GUACUCUCACACUCUCUGAUUUCAGAUUGGGGGGCGGUGGACUUGGGUGUUGCUGCUUCGCGGUGGCUCAUCUCAAAUGCAGUAGUGCACCUCUUGGUUGGACAUAGUACAGCGUGAUAAGUAUCUUCGCUGGCACCUCGCAUGAGGGUGUCUGAUUGGGAGCUCUGUGCUUCUAACAGUCCCUUGAUUGGGACACACUCUGACA